rnacentral:rRNA from 1 species
AGUGAACGCUGGCGGUAGGCCUAACACAUGCAAGUCGAACGGCAGCACAGUAAGAGCUUGCUCUUACGGGUGGCGAGUGGCGGACGGGUGAGGAAUACAUCGGAAUCUACUUUUUCGUGGGGGAUAACGUAGGGAAACUUACGCUAAUACCGCAUACGACCUACGGGUGAAAGCAGUGGAUCUUCUGACCUUGCGCGAUUGAAUGAGCCGAUGUCGGAUUAGCUAGUUGGCGGGGUAAAGGCCCACCAAGGCGACGAUCCGUAGCCGGUCUGAGUGGAUGGUCGGCCACCCUGGAACGUGAACACGGUCCAGGCUCCUGAGGGAGGGAGCAGAGGGGUAUGUUAGGCAACAGGGGGGAGCCUGAUCCAACCAUACCGCGUGGGUGGAAGAAGCGCUGCGGGUGGAAAGCCCUUUUUUUGGGAAAAAAAAGCAGGCGGUUGAUACCCCGCUUUUGUGACGGUAACCGAAAAAUAAGCACCGGCUAACUUCGUG